rnacentral:rRNA from 1 species
AUUGAACGCUGGCGGCAUGCUUUACACAUGCAAGUCGAACGGCAGCGCGGGCUUCGGCCUGGCGGCGAGUGGCGAACGGGUGAGUAAUACAUCGGAACGUGCCCAGUCGUGGGGGAUAGCUCGGCGAAAGCCGGAUUAAUAUCGCAUCCGACCUGAGGGUGAAAGAGGGGGAUCUUCGGACCUCGCGCUAUUGGAGCGGCCGAUGGCAGAUUCGCCAGUUGGUGGGGUAAAGGCCUACCAAGGCGACCAUCUGUAGCUGGUCUGAGAGGACGACGAGCCACACUGGGACUGAGACACGGCCCAGACUCCUACGGGAGGCAGCGGUGGGGAAUUUUGGACAAUGGACGAAAGCCUGAUCCAGCAAUGCCGCGUGUGUAAUGAAGGCCUUCGGGUUGUAAAGCACUUUUGGCGGGAACGAAAAGGACUGUGCCAAUACCACGGUUCGAUGACGGUACCCGCAGAAUAAGCACCGGCUAACUACGUG